AACGAACGCUGGCGGCAGGCUUAACACAUGCAAGUCGAACGCAUCCUUCGGGGUGAGUGGCAGACGGGUGAGUAACGCGUGGGAACGUGCCCUUCAGUUCGGGAUAACCCAGGGAAACUUGGGCUAAUACCGGAUACGUGCGAGAGCAGAAAGAUUUAUCGCUGAAGGAUCGGCCCGCGUCUGAUUAGCUAGUUGGUGGGGUAAUGGCCCACCAAGGCGACGAUCAGUAGCUGGUCUGAGAGGAUGAUCAGCCACAUUGGGACUGAGACACGGCCCAAACUCCUCGGGGAGGCAGAGGUGGGGAAUAUUGGACAAUGGGGGCAAGCCUGAUCCAGCCUUGCCGGGGGAGUGAUGAAGGCCUUAGGUUUGUAAAGCUCUUUCGUCCGGGACGAUAAUGACGGUACCGGAAGAAGAAGCCCCGGCUGACUUCGUGCCAGCAGCCGCCGUAA
rnacentral:rRNA from 1 species